rnacentral:ncRNA from 1 species
GGUGAUUUAAGUUUAGUAACUUGAGUGUGUGGUUGUCGUAGUAAGUAGUACUAUAGUCUAAGACUAUAUAACUAGCUAAGUAGCUUAAUUUAAUGUUAAAACGUUGGUUUUAAGGUUUGAGAUUAUCUAUAUGUGUAUGAAUAUAAACAUACAUUUUACAUAAAAAUUAUACUACCCAUAAUAUUAUGUUGGUUUUCCCUUUGAUUGCACAUGGUAUUUUAGAGAGGUGUGAGAGGUCUACGUAAACUAGAUAGGAAACAGGAUUAAAAUGAGUAUAAAGACUACUGUGUCAGUGGGUCAUGUGUGGUUUUGGUGUAAAUCCAAAAUCUCACCGUUGCUUUAAAGUGUUUCCUUUUACUUUAAUAGGUUAGUGUAGGUUUAAUUGUCUUUUAGAUCAGUUCAAAAAUGGACACACUUGAGUGUACUCGACACCAGUGCGGAGCAUUGAUAAAAUAUAGAAAUAUAGAGUAAGUAAUGGGGAAUAGGGCGGAAUAACAAAGUGCCAGCAUUCGCGGUCAAUCUUUAUGUCCCAAGCUAAUGUUUUACAUGCAAAAGUGAUAGUAUAAAAAAACAUUUAUCUAAAGUAGAGACGGUAAAAUGUAGCUACGGUUGAGGUAGAGUUGUCGCGCAGAAAUGUGGGAUAUUUCCACCUUUACGUUUAGUCAAAAUUAGAUUGUUUUUAAAAUAGAACCUGAUAAGGCUGUAUAUGGAGACCGGGAUUUGUACCCCAGUAUCAAAGCUGUUAAACGGUGUGUGGGUACUACGAGCAAACGCGCUUAAAAUCCAAAGAGGUUGGCGGUGUUCCAAAUCCGGUUAGGGGAACUUGGCGAUUAAAUCGAUGAUCCUCGAAUAUUUUACCCUUAAUUUUCUUUGCAUACCGCCGUUGAGACAAGCUUUAGGGGGUUAAAGAACUUUAACGCAAAAUAUAAAAAUAGUAACGUUAGCAGUGUGUCUGUUAGGUUAAGUUUCUAUAAAAAUUCAGGUAAACGUGUAGGUUUUAAGGGGUUUAGCUGAGUUACAUUAUUUAUAAUAUGCGGAUGUACUUAUUUAUAUUGGACUGAAGGCGUACUUGUUAGUAAAAUUUUUUAUAAAGGAAAUUUGAAUAGAGUUAUGGGACGCGUACAAAUCGCCCGGCGUUCUUGAAUACUGAAAUUAAGGUAAGUCGUAACAUAGUAAUGCUAGUAGAAACUGGUGUUAAGUAUAAAAAUUAGAGUUAUACUGGUUAAAGGGUAUAAACUGAAAAAUAAAAUAAAUUGGUAUUAUUA